rnacentral:tRNA from 1 species
GAGGGUAUAGCUUAGUGGUAGUGCAGAUGCUUAGCAUGCAAGAGGUCCUGGGUUCAAUCCCCAGUACCCGCA